rnacentral:rRNA from 1 species
AUUGAACGCUGGCGGCAGGCUUAACACAUGCAAGUCGAGCGGUAGCACAGGAGAGCUUGCUCUCUGGGUGACGAGCGGCGGACGGGUGAGUAAUGUCUGGGAAACUGCCUGAUGGAGGGGGAUAACUACUGGAAACGGUAGCUAAUACCGCAUAACGUCGCAAGACCAAAGAGGGGGACCUUCGGGCCUCUUGCCAUCAGAUGUGCCCAGAUGGGAUUAGCUAGUAGGUGGGGUAAUGGCUCACCUAGGCGACGAUCCCUAGCUGGUCUGAGAGGAUGACCAGCCACACUGGAACUGAGACACGGUCCAGACUCCUACGGGAGGCAGCAGUGGGGAAUAUUGCACAAUGGGCGCAAGCCUGAUGCAGCCAUGCCGCGUGUGUGAAGAAGGCCUUCGGGUUGUAAAGCACUUUCAGCGAGGAGGAAGGUGGUGAACUUAAUACGUUCAUCAAUUGACGUUACUCGCAGAAGAAGCACCGGCUAACUCCGUG